CACGCUCCAGCGCCGGUCGGACGCAUUGUCGACUCCAUGCGUGCUCGCGUGUUGAGAAUUCAUUGUGCGCAGGUACGGUGCUGCGUCGAGAAUGCCGUCGCGUUAACAGACGACCCGCGAGGCACCGCGAGGCAUCGUGCGUUCGGUUUCGAGUGAAGUGUUCGCAUACGCAUUCGAGCAAAGUGUACGUGAAGAGGAUAGAAUAUCGCGUAGAAUACACGUAGAAAACGUAGAAUAAACGUUCGGUAGAAUAUCGCGAGUGAAUUAAGUGAAGUGCUUCUAGUCGUCGUGCGAGCUUACGAAAUUCCAUAUUUUCGAAACGAAUUUGUCUCCGUUUGUUAUAUCUCGGCGCGUAAUUUUUAUUUAAACGGUUUUCUCGGCCUGCGUUUUCACAAAGUUACGUGACCUUACGCCACUUUCGUGCCAUGUUGAUUUUCGUUCCGGACAAAGUUUUCGUGUGCGCGUAUUCGCUCGAAGAGGGUACACAAUCCGUUCGGUAGAAUGUCGAUCGUGCCAAUAAUGAAAGUUUAUUAGUCGUCGCAUUUAUUUAUGUCAUAUUAAAUUUAUUUUAUUUAUUUUAUUUGUUCGAAAAUACAACUAAAAUUUUCACAUAAUUUAAUCUUUUAUAAUUUAAUUUUUUAUCAACGUGAGAUACGUCGGUAAGUAAUCGACGUGCGACGUGCGAUAAUAGUACCGAUCGUGGGACACGGAAUUAAAUACAGGCUUUCGUUUCGAGAUGUCACUACCGACGCGAGAUUGAAUCAUUAGCUCCUUGAUACAGCACGCGUUCGUAAUAAAAGUCUUUUCAACAGUUUAACUGUGUGUUCUCUGUAACUGCAUCAGUAUUGUACUUUGUUAAAAUGUGACGGAUACACGAUUACAUGAGUGCGAGAAAGAGAUAAAGUUUUUUGAUCGCAAACGCAUUUCUGCUGUCUUUUCAAUCACUUUAUUCGAACGUGACACUGUGUGACAAAACGCGCGCCGACAUUUUGGUUACGUUUCGAAAUUUGCAGAAUGUUCGUCGCGUUCGUAACGUGAAUUAUAUAGAUGUUGAAUACUACCGAUGUUAUUUCGAAACUCGUGCCUCGUUCGGAUUGGAACAUCGCAUUUCGUCGAGCGUACCAGCGUUUCAUCGCGCCGCGUUUUCGGGAGUGCUGACCGACAUUUAAUUAAAAACGAACCGCAGCCGGUUCGUCGCGUCGCGCGUUUACUUAAUUCAGGAAUGCCGUUCAAAUAAAUGAACUAUUACGUAUUAUUCGCGUGUGUCCUGUGCAACAAGAGGAGCAUAAGAUGCAGGCCUGGGAAAGGCAUCGGGCCUGGGCAGAGCAACCUUAGGAACCAUAGUAGCGAAGUGUCCUGUGCAACGAGAGGAGGAGGAGACCUGGGAAAGGUAAUUAAAUGACAAAGCAGAGAAUGAAUUUUAUGUCUACAUCAUUUUAUGUCUAUGUCUACAUCUACGCCUUAUUAUCUAUUCUACGAGUCAAAGUUCACUCCAGACUCCAUAUGAAAGAUUGAUAAUUUAAAAAGAAGACAAUCUAAUAGAGACAAAGUAAUAAACUUAUGUUGAAUAUAUUAAAAUUACGAAGGAAGGGU
rnacentral:lncRNA from 1 species